AGUUUUGGACAAUGGGGGAAACCCUGAUCCAGCAAUGCCGCGUGCAGGAUGAAGGCCUUCGGGUUGUAAACUGCUUUUGUACGGACCGAAAAGUCUUUGGCUAAUGCCCUUGGAUCCUGACGGUACCGCAAGAAUAAGCCCCGCCUAAUUACGUGCCAGCAUCCGCGGUAAUACGCAGGGUGCAAGCGUUAAUCGGAAUUACUGGGCGUAAAGCGUGCGCAGGCGGUUUUGUAAGACAGUGGUGAAAUCCCCGGGCUCAACCUGGGAACUGCCAUUGUGACUGCAAGGCUGGAGUGCGGCAGAGGGGGAUGGAAUUCCGCGUGUAGCAGUGAAAUGCGUAGAUAUGCGGAGGAACACCGAUGGCGAAGGCAAUCCCCUGGGCCUGCACUGACGCUCAUGCACGAAAGCGUGGGGAGCAAACAGG
rnacentral:rRNA from 1 species